AUCCAGCUGACGAAUUCCUAAUAGGACGGAACGCAUGUCCUGGAU
rfam:Schistosoma mansoni strain Puerto Rico chromosome 1, complete genome